rnacentral:rRNA from 1 species
GGCCUAACACAUGCAAGUCGAGCGGAAACGACACUAACAAUCCUUCGGGUGCGUUAAUGGGCGUCGAGCGGCGGACGGGUGAGUAAUGCCUAGGAAAUUGCCUUGAUGUGGGGGAUAACCAUUGGAAACGAUGGCUAAUACCGCAUGAUGCCUACGGGCCAAAGAGGGGGACCUUCGGGCCUCUCGCGUCAAGAUAUGCCUAGGUGGGAUUAGCUAGUUGGUGAGGUAAUGGCUCACCAAGGCGACGAUCCCUAGCUGGUCUGAGAGGAUGAUCAGCCACACUGGAACUGAGACACGGUCCAGACUCCUACGGGAGGCAGCAGUGGGGAAUAUUGCACAAUGGGCGAAAGCCUGAUGCAGCCAUGCCGCGUGUAUGAAGAAGGCCUUCGGGUUGUAAAGUACUUUCAGUUGUGAGGAAGGGUGUGUAGUUAAUAGCUGCGCAUCUUGACGUUAGCAACAGAAGAAGCACCGGCUAACUCCGUGCCAGCAGCCGCGGUAAUACGGAGGGUGCGAGCGUUAAUCGGAAUUACUGGGCGUAAAGCGCAUGCAGGUGGUUCAUUAAGUCAGAUGUGAAAGCCCGGGGCUCAACCUCGGAACUGCAUUUGAAACUGGUGAACUAGAGUACUGUAGAGGGGGGUAGAAUUUCAGGUGUAGCGGUGAAAUGCGUAGAGAUCUGAAGGAAUACCAGUGGCGAAGGCGGCCCCCUGGACAGAUACUGACACUCAGAUGCGAAAGCGUGGGGAGCAAACAGGAUUAGAUAACCUG